GUCAUCUAAAGGCGACUGUUGUGGUUACCAAGGGUUACAGUGUGGUUGGUUGGAGCCGACGCGGCCUCUCCAAAGAGCACAAGUUUCUGAGUUUUUGUCCUGUAAAGAGUGACUCUAGACUCCCUACACCUCAGACUCUACACUCGAGUCAGUCUGCCUGCGAUGUCAUCGCCAUUCUUUAUACUGGAUUUAUAAUUAUAUACUUUAUAUUUUUAUAGUGUUGGACCACACUGAGUCACAUUGAAAGUUUUCAAACUCAUGGAUCGGAGCUUCAGGACAAGAUAAAAGGUGAUGCCGAGGACAAAGAUCAGGCUGGAACACACACGAGGACGCCACACUUGGCAGGAAGUCAGACAGGAAGUUGAGGCCGCUAAUGAAGGUGAAGCUCACUCUGAAUGGGAAUAAUGGAGAAGGUCACAGGUCACGUGUUCAAGACCAAGAAAAUGAGCAUUUUCUACAUUUAUGGAUCAGGAAGCCUGAAGACGACAGCAGUGGACAUCCGUGAGGUAACAACAUGAAGUCUGCUUGCUUUUCAUCAUGCAGCGUUUUCCUCCACGGUAGGAACGUGCGAGCUGACGCACCAAAUGACCAGCAGUCAUUUAACUUUUUUUAAAAAAAUGAAUGAAUAGGUUGGUUUCAUGCAGAGGACAUC